ACUGCUGGUUUCUUUUCAUAUCGUGUAAAUCUUUCGCCUUUUACUAAAGAUUUCCGUGGAGAGGAACAAUCUGAGCGUCAAGUAAUUUUAAUGCCCUGCUUUGUAGUGGAGU